GAUGAACGCUAGCGGCAGGCCUAACACAUGCAAGUCGAGGGGCAGCACAGAAACAGCAAUAUUUUGGUGGCGACAGGCGGACGGGAGCGUAACGCGUAUGCAACCUACCUUUAACAGGGCGAUAACGGAGAGAAAUUGCCACAAAUACCCCAUAACAUCGAUCAAGACAUCUUGAUUGGUUGAAAACUGCGGUGGUUAACGAUGGGCAUGCGUCGUAUUAGGUAGUUGGUGAGGUAAUGGCUCACCAAGCCUACGAUACAUAGGGGGACUGAGAGGUUAGCCGCCGACACUGGUAGGGGGACACGGACCAGAGUCCUGCGGGAGGGAGCAGUGAGGGACAUUGGUCAAUAGGGGCAACCAUUAACCAGCCAGGCAGAGUGCAGGAAGACGGCGCUGUGAGUUGGAAGCUGCGUUUAAACAGGGAUAAAGCACAGAGUGUAUACUGUGUUGAAGGUACUGUAAGAAUAAGGAUCGGCUAACUCCGUGCCAGCAGCCGCCGUAA
rnacentral:rRNA from 1 species